AAUAAACGAGGACGGAACGGGCAGCCGUCGCCACUUGGGUUAAACUCUUGGCCAGAGUCCAAGGUAGGAGAUGUGGGAACAGGUCGCCCCACCUUAUU
rnacentral:ncRNA from 1 species